UACGAAUGGAGCGAGCGUUGUUCGGAAUCACUGGGCGUAAAGGGUGCGCAGGCGGUCUUGAAAGUUAGAAGUGAAAGCCCCGGGCUUAACCCGGGAAUUGCUUUUAAAACUCCAAGACUAGAGUACUGGAGAGGUUAGCGGAAUUCCAAGUGUAGCAGUGAAAUGCGUAGAUAUUUGGAGGAACACCAAUGGCGUAGGCAGCUAACUGGACAGUAACUGACGCUCAUGCACGAAAGCGUGGGGAUCAAACAGG
rnacentral:rRNA from 1 species